UACGUAGGGGGCAAGCGUUGUCCGGAUUUAUUGGGCGUAAAGAGCGUGUAGGCGGCCAGGUAGGUCCGCUGUGAAAACUCGAGGCUCAACCUCGAGAUGUCGGCGGAAACCAUCUGGCUAGAGUCCGGAAGAGGAGAGUGGAAUUCCUGGUGUAGCGGUGAAAUGCGCAGAUAUCAGGAAGAACACCCGUGGCGAAGGCGGCUCUCUGGGACGGUACUGACGCUGAGACGCGAAAGCGUGGGAGCAAACAGG
rnacentral:rRNA from 1 species